rnacentral:rRNA from 1 species
AGUGAACGCUGGCGGUAGGCCUAACACAUGCAAGUCGAACGGCAGCACAGUAAGAGCUUGCUCUUACGGGUGGCGAGUGGCGGACGGGUGAGGAAUACAUCGGAAUCUACUUUUUCGUGGGGGAUAACGUAGGGAAACUUACGCUAAUACCGCAUACGACCUACGGGUGAAAGCAGGGGAUCUUCGGACCUUGCGCGAUUGAAUGAGCCGAUGUCGGAUUAGCUAGUUGGCGGGGUAAAGGCCCACCAAGGCGACGAUCCGUAGCUGGUCUGAGAGGAUAAUCAGCCACACUGGAACUGAGACACGGUCCAGACUCCUACGGGAGACAGCAGUGGGGAAUAUUGGACAAUGGGCGCAAGCCUGAUCCAGCCAUACCGCGUGGGUGAAGAAGGCCUUCGGGUUGUAAAGCCCUUUUGUUGGGAAAGAAAAGCAGCAGGUUAAUACCCCGCUGUUCUGACGGUACCCAAAGAAUAAGCACCGGCUAACUUCGUG